rnacentral:tRNA from 1 species
AGUCUCAUUAGCUCAAUGGCAGAGCAUAAUACUUCUAAUAUUAGGACCUUAGUUCGACUCUAAGAUGGGACUACC